GUGGGUAUAGCUCAGUGGUAGAGCAUAUGCUUAGUAUAUACAUAAGGUCCUGGGUUCAAUCCCCAGUACCUCCA
rnacentral:tRNA from 1 species